GGGAAUAUAGCUUAAUAGUAGAGUGCUUGCCUAGCAUGCAUGAAGCCCUGGGUUUGAUUCCUCAGUACCA
rfam:Dipodomys ordii contig_29136, whole genome shotgun sequence.